rnacentral:rRNA from 1 species
GGGGAAUCUUGGACAAUGGGGGCAACCCUGAUCCAGCCAUGCCGCGUGUGUGAAGAAGGCCUUCGGGUUGUAAAGCACUUUCAGUAGGGAGGAAGGCUUACCGCUAAUAACGGUGAGUACUUGACGUUACCUACAGAAGAAGCACCGGCUAAUUUCGUGCCAGCAGCCGCGGUAAUACGAAAGGUGCGAGCGUUAAUCGGAAUUACUGGGCGUAAAGCGCGCGUAGGCGGUUUGUUAAGUCAGAUGUGAAAGCCCCGGGCUCAACCUGGGAAUUGCAUUUGAAACUGGCAGGCUAGAGUGCAGUAGAGGGAGGUGGAAUUUCCGGUGUAGCGGUGAAAUGCGUAGAGAUCGGAAGGAACACCAGUGGCGAAGGCGGCCUCCUGGACUGACACUGACGCUGAGGUGCGAAAGCGUGGGGAGCAAACAGG